CGAUAAGUUUAUUUGAAAGCUGCUAACUUUUAAUAUAGCGAUUAGCUACUUUGUAAU
rnacentral:tRNA from 1 species